CAUGGCUGUGAGCACCACUGCGUCAAUUCCCCGGGCUUCUAUUUCUGUCACUGCCAAGCUGGCUUUAUACUGCAGCAAGACAAGAGGAGCUGCAGGGCCAUUGACCACUGCAGCUUCGGGAACCACAGCUGCCAGCAUGAGUGUGUUAGUACCCUUGGUGGGCCACAGUGCAGCUGCAGAGAGGGCCAUGACUUGCUGCCCGAUGGGAGGAGCUGUCAGAUCCGGGACAUUUGCAAUGGUGUGGACCAUGGCUGUGAAUUCCAAUGUGUGAGUGAGGGCCUCUCCUACCGCUGCCUGUGCCCUGAGGGGCGGCAACUGCAGGCAGAUGGCAAGA